GAGGGGAAGAUUGACAUGAUGUGGCAAAAUCAUCCAUCUUUCUUCACACACCUUAAACUGUUAUGAUCCUGACAUGAUGGUCUGUGCUACCAAUUCCAUGCUUUGUAACUAACCAGUUGAUGAAUGGUGUUUAUUAAGAUUUAAGAAGUUAUUUCUACUAUUUGAGUUCCAAGGUUUCACACUGGCUGCUGUAGAAUACGACUCUUGGUAUCAAUGAAAAGGUACUCAAAAUCAUGGACAAAGCAAAUCAGUACUUACUCCAAUGCUUAUUGGUUGGUGAUUUUGUAUUUAAGACAAAUGUCUAUGUUUUUUUGGGAAUAGGAAACAUGGCUUUUGUUAGUGCGAGAUACACGUUGAGCUGUUACACUAGAAAGAUUAUACUGAUAAUGUUGUUGACAAGCUUAACGAUAAUGAUUUUGUACUUUAGUUUGUAUCUAACUUUAUCUUGUGGAUCUAAGAAAGAACGAUAUGCUCUUUUUGUUGGUGAUAUAUAUUUUAGGUGUAUGCUACUUUCCAAGAUGCUGAAACAUACUUUAUUUGCUGGUUGAUUUGGCUAUUUUCCUUUUUCAGAAAAUUAUUGUCGCCAAAGCUCUGAAAUUUGAUGAUGUUGAGCCAGGAAGAUAUACGCUGGAUUGUUUACCUUUGAGGUUGGUUUGGAGCUGAGGGCUCUCAUGCCAGAUGCAUUGUUAUCAAAUGACAGCCUUUUCCCCCUCUAAGGUGACUACUAAGCCAGGAGCAGACAGCUACAUGUUCAUAUGGUACACUGUAUAGAUAUGUUGUGCCUACUCAAGUGACUUGCGGCAUCUUAUAGUUUGGCUGCAUCCAUGCCUUUUAGAAAUGGGAGACACAAAGUAGUAGUCCACUAGUCCCUGGUCCCAGCAUCUCAGGCUCCUCCAGUUGCAUACAGAGAUAGAAGGAAGACUCUCAACAGUUGAGAUCUCACAAAUGUUUUCCAGGGCUGCUUUUUCUGGUCUCUGGGUGAGUGCAGCCAUUGCACGCGUGCUCAGACAGACCGGAGCACAAGAAGAAAGACUCUGCGCUCCAGGGCUGCACAUAACAAAGCUGUGGUGGUUAAAAUGCCAACGCAGACUUGGCACUGAUUCUUUUCAGCCUUGUUCUGUCUAUAAGUUUUCCCCUGGUGGUGAUUGCUGAAGAACGAAGUUGGUAGACUGACCUAACCUCGGAGCAGGUGGGGAAAAAAAUCAUUUCAGCAUGUAACAUCAUUGGGUCCGUGUGUUAAAUUAUUGACGCCUAUAUUGGUUAAUGAUGACUGAUGAGUCCAUGCAAUUGCAUGUGUGUUUACACACCAUUCCUUGUGUCCUGGUGUCAAAGUCGUAGGUGGCGCCUUAUAGGGGCUAGCAAAUCUGGGUAGGCUCUUGGGUGGAUCUGAGUUGUUAUAUAUGACAAAAUCUGUCUAACCUGAUUGUCUCAACCUGCCCCUGUUCUGUA